ensembl:scaRNA small Cajal body-specific RNA 14
GUGACUGUUCUGGUAUUGAUUGCAUUUGUUAGUUGUACAGUGCAACCAGACAGUCAUAUACAUCAAAACAGUUGGUUCCUGUCGUCAGAGUCUGUAUAGUUAUCAGAUUUUCUGUGUGGUGGCUCCAUACAUA